rnacentral:rRNA from 1 species
AUUGAACGCUGGAGGCAGGCCUAAAACAUGCAAGUCGAGCGGAGCGGCGGACGGGUGAGUAAUGCCUAGGAAUCUGACUGGUAGUGGGGGAUAACGUACGGAAACGGGCGCUAAUACCGCAUACUAUCAGAUGAGAAUAGGUCGGAUUAGCUAGAUGGUGGGGUAAAGGCCGACCAAGGCGACGAUCCGUAACUGGUCUGGGAAGAUGAUCAGUCACACUGGAACUUAGACACGGUCCAGACUCCUACGGGAGGCAGCAGUGGGGAAUAGUGGACAAGGGGCGAAAGCCUGAUCCAGCCAUGCCGCUUGUGUGAAGAAGGUCUUCGGAUUGUAAAGCACUUUAAGUUGGGAGGCGUUACCAACAGAAUAAGCACCGGCUAACUUCGUGCCAGCAGCCGCGGUAAUAC